UCGGGAAUUUUGGGCAAUGGGCGAAAGCCUGACCCAGCAACGCCGCGUGAGGGAUGAGGUAUUUCGGUAUGUAAGCCUCGAAAGAAUGGGAAGAAUAAAUGACGGUACCAUUUAUAAGCUCCGGCUAACUACGUGCCAGCAGCCGCGGUAAUACGUAGGGAGCAAGCGUUGUUCGGAUUUACUGGGCGUAAAGGGCGCGUAGGCGGCGCGGUAAGUCACUUGUGAAAUCUCUGAGCUUAACUCAGAACGGCCAAGUGAUACUGCUGUGCUAGAGUGCGGAAGAGNCAACCGGAAUUCUUGGUGCAGCGGUGAAAUGCGUAGAUAUCAAGAGGAACACCUGAGGCGAAGGCGGGUUGCUGGGCCGACACUGACGCUGAUGCGCGAAAGCCAGGGGAGCAAACG
rnacentral:rRNA from 1 species